CUGCUGCCUCCCGUAGGAGUCUGGGCCGUGUCUCAGUCCCAAUGUGGCCGGCCAACCUCUCAGUCCGGCUACUGAUCGUCGCCUUGGUGGGCCGUUACCCCGCCAACCAGCUAAUCGGACGCGAGCUCAUCCCAGAGCGAUAAAUCUUUGGCAGUCAGAGAGAUGCCUCCCAACUGCAUCAUGCGGUAUUAGCGGCUGUUUCCAGCCGUUAUUCCCCACUCCAGGGCAGAUUGCU
rnacentral:rRNA from 1 species